AGUAACGCGUGAGGAACCUGCCUCAAAGAGGGGGCAACAGUUGGAAACGACUGCUAAUACCGCAUAAGCCCACGGCUCGGCAUCGAGCAGAGGGAAAAGGAGCAAUCCGCUUUGAGAUGGCCUCGCGUCCGAUUAGCUAGUUGGUGAGGUAAUGGCCCACCAAGGCGACGAUCGGUAGCCGGACUGAGAGGUUGAACGGCCACAUUGGGACUGAGACACGGCCCAG
rnacentral:rRNA from 1 species